rnacentral:rRNA from 1 species
GUUGACCUCGGAUCAGGUAGGAAUACCCGCUGAACUUAAGCAUAUCAAUAAGCGGAGGAAGAA